UACGUAGGUCCCGAGCGUUGUCCGGAUUUAUUGGGCGUAAAGCGAGCGCAGGCGGUUUGAUAAGUCUGAAGUUAAAGGCUGUGGCUCAACCAUAGUUCGCUUUGGAAACUGUCAAACUUGAGUGCAGAAGGGGAGAGUGGAAUUCCAUGUGUAGCGGUGAAAUGCGUAGAUAUAUGGAGGAACACCGGUGGCGAAAGCGGCUCUCUGGUCUGUAACUGACGCUGAGGCUCGAAAGCGUGGGGAGCAAACAGG
rnacentral:rRNA from 1 species